GACGAACGCUGGCGGCGUGCUUAACACAUGCAAGUCGAACGGAAAGGCCCCUUUGGGGGUCCUCGAGUGGCGAACGGGUGAGUAACACGUGAGUAACCUGCCCUUGACUUCGGGAUAACUUCAGGAAACUGGGGCUAAUACCGGAUAGGAAUCCUUGCUGCAUGGUGGGGGUUGGAAAGCUUCGGCGGUUUUGGAUGGACUCGCGGCUUAUCAGCUUGUUGGUGGGGUAGUGGCUUACCAAGGCUUUGACGGGUAGCCGGCCUGAGAGGGCGACCGGCCACAUUGGGACUGAGAUACGGCCCAGACUCCUACGGGAGGCAGCAGUGGGGAAUAUUGCACAAGGGGCGGAAGCCUGAUGCAGCAACGCCGCGGGCGGGAUGACGGCCUUCGGGUUGUAAACCGCUUUCAGCAGGGGCGAAGCUUGUGGUGACGGUACCUGCAGAAGAAGCACCGGCUAACUACGUG
rnacentral:rRNA from 1 species